UGUGUUUGCUUUUAGAUCCUAAGAGUUCAUAACCCUAACUGGGUAUGAGAAUGUUCAACCUGGGUGUUAUCCUGGGUAACAGAACCAAGCUUCGGGAAAUGAGACGCUAAAGGAAAACAGCGAGGAUGAAUCUGUUAUAAAUGAAGCAACCACACAUGUACACAUUAUACCAGGAAGCUUCAGUCUAUAGACAGCUAAUAGUUCUGCCAGAUAUGCAACAGCAGCCUUGAGAGUAUGAGUUCAAUUCUCCGUUUAUGACAGAGUUGGAAGAAUUUCUUCACCAAGGUAAGGAGUGAGAAAGUGA
rnacentral:lncRNA from 1 species